rnacentral:rRNA from 1 species
GACGGGGGCCCGCACAAGCGGAGGAGCAUGUGGUUUAAUUCGAUGAUACGCGAGGAACCCUUACCUGGGCUACGAACGUAAGAUGACUGUAGGUGAAAGCUUACACCUCUUCGGAGCAUUUUACGAGGUGCUGCAUGGUUGUCGUCAGCUCGUGCCGUGAGGUGUCGGGUUAAGUCCCAUAACGAGCGCAACCCCUACCUUUAGUUGCCAUCAGGUUAAGCUGGGGACUCUAAAGGAACUGCCUACGCAAGUAGUGAGGAAGGCGGGGAUGACGUCAAAUCAGCACGGCCCUUACGUCCAGGGCUACACACGUGCUACAAUGGCCGAUACAGAGGGCAGCUACCUGGUGACAGGAUGCAAAUCUCCAAAGUCGGUCUCAGUUCGGAUCGGAGUCUGCAACCCGACUCCGUGAAGUUGGAUUCGCUAGUAAUCGCGCAUCAGCCAUGGCGCGGUGAAUACGUUCCCGGGCCUU